AGCUCCAAUAGCGUAUAUUAAAGUUGUUGCGGUUAAAAAGCUCGUAGUUGGAUUUCUGUCGAGGACGGGCGGUCCUCGCUUUGCGAGUGUAUCUGCUUUGGCCUUGGCAUCCUCGUGAGAGACGUUGCUGCGCUUGAGUGCGUGGUGCGGGUUUCACGACUUUUACUUUGAGGAAAUUAGAGUGUUCACGGCAGGCUAUCGCCUUGAAUAUAUUAGCAUGGAAUAAUAAUAUAGGACUUUGGUUCUAUUUUGUUGGUUUCUAGGACUAAAGUAAUGAUUAAUAGGGAUAAUUGGGGGCAUUUGUAUUAACCUGUCAGAGGUGGAAUUCUUGGAUUAGGUUACGACAAACUACUGCGAAAGCAUUUGCCAAGGAUGUUUUCA
rnacentral:rRNA from 1 species